rnacentral:tRNA from 1 species
GGGGAGUUGGCUCAGUGGUAGAGUGCUUGCCUUGCAUGCAUGAGGCCCUGGGUUUGAUUCCUCA